rnacentral:rRNA from 1 species
CCCUUAGAUGUUCUGGGCUGCACGCGUGCUACACUGAUAUUGCCAAUAUGUCAUUCUUAUCCGAAAUGGAUUAGGUAAUCAAGUAAUGAAAUUUCAUGCUUGGAAUCGGUAAUUGCAAUUUUAUCGUGAACGAGGAAUUCCUAGUAAGCACUAGUCAUCAGCUAAUGUUGAUUAUGUCCCUGCCCUUUGUACACACCGCCCGUCGCUACUACUGAUUGGGUGUUCAAGUGAGAUGCUUAGACCCUUGUUGCAUGGUUCAUUAUUGUGCUCCGAAAGGAAAAAGUUUCAAGCUUGAGUGUCUAGAGGAAGUAAAAGUCGUAACA